CCUACGGGUGACUGCAGUGAGGAAUAUUGGUCAAUGGCCGUAAGGCUGAACCAGCCAAGUCGCGUGAAGGAAGAAGGAUCUCUGGUUUGUAAACUUCUUUUAUAGGGGAAUAAAGGUAUCCACGUGUGGAUUUUUGCAUGUACCCUAUGAAUAAGCAUCGGCGAACUCCGUGCCAGCAGCCGCGGUAAUACGGAGGAUGCGAGCGUUAUCCGGAUUUAUUGGGUUUAAAGGGUGCGUAGGUUGUUUUUUAAGUCAGCGGUGAAAGUUUGUGGCUCAACCAUAAAAUUGCCGUUGAAACUGGAAGACUUGAGUGUGUUUGAGGUAGGCGGAAUGCGUGGUGUAGCGGUGAAAUGCGUAGAUAUAACGCAGAACUCCGAUUGCGAAGGCAGCUUACUAAGCCAUUACUGACACUGAAGCACGAAAGCGUGGGGAGCAAACAGGAUUAGAUACCCUUGUAGUC
rnacentral:rRNA from 1 species